rnacentral:rRNA from 1 species
AUACGGAGGGUGCAAGCGUUAAUCGGAUUUACUGGGCGUAAAGCGUGCGUAGGCGGUUUGUUAAGUCAGAUGUGAAAGCCCCGGGCUCAACCUGGGAACUGCAUUUGAAACUGGCAAACUAGAGUGUGGUAGAGGGAAGUGGAAUUCCUCAUGUAGCGGUGAAAUGCGUAGAUAUGAGGAGGAACACCAGUGGCGAAGGCGACUUCCUGGACCAACACUGACGCUCAUGUACGAAAGCGUGGGUAGCAAACAGGAUUAGAAACCCGUGUAGUCC